UACGGAGGGUGCAAGCGUUAAUCGGAAUUACUGGGCGUAAAGGGUGCGUAGGUGGUUAAUUAAGUUAGAUGUAAAAACCCUGGGCUUAACCUGGGACUGAGAUUUAAUACUGGUUAACUUGAGUAUGGGAGAGGGUAGUGGAAUUUCCGGUGUAGCGGUGAAAUGCGUAGAGAUCGGAAGGAACACCAGUGGCGAAGGCGGCUACCUGGCCUAAUACUGACACUGAGGCACGAAAGCGUGGGGAGCAAACAGG
rnacentral:rRNA from 1 species